rnacentral:lncRNA from 1 species
CUCAAUGCUAAGGGGUCAGGGCUAGAUUCUGUACUCUGGAUUAAAGUUCCCUUAAUAAUUUCCUUCACACAGAGUGACUUUCCCACAGUUGAGCAACUUGUGUUGAAACUGAGAUGGAGGGCAGUCAGCCAAGAAAGUUGAACAACUGUCAACAAAUUUAAAUUUGUCAUUUCUAAGCUGAUGGAAGAGAAAGAGAAUCCUGGUAGAAGAGGCCUUUAAAGAAUCUGGUCUAACCCCUAAAAAUCAACUAGGUCAUGGAAGAGAAAGACAGAACAAAUGCUUUCUUCUCUCUAGUAGAAAAGAAGUAAUUGAAAAAGAACAGA